rnacentral:rRNA from 1 species
UGGGGAAUAUUGCACAAUGGGGGAAACCCUGAUGCAGCGACGCCGCGUGAGCGAUGAAGGCUUUCGAGUCGUAAAGCUCUGUCCUAUGGGAAGAUAAUGACGGUACCAUAGAAGAAAGCCCCGGCUAAUUACGUGCCAGCAGCCGCGGUAAUACGUAAGGGGCGAGCGUUGUCCGGAAUUAUUGGGCGUAAAGAGUGCGUAGGCGGCAAAUUAAGUCAGAUGUGAAAACUAAGGGCUCAACCCAUAGAUUGCAUCUGAAACUGAUAUGCUUGAGGCAAGGGAAGGAAAGUGGAAUUCCUAGUGUAGCGGUGGAAUGCGUAGAUAUUAGGGGGAAUACCGGUGGCGAAGGCGACUUUCUGGACUUUUACUGGCGCUCCGGUACGAAAGGGUGGGGAGCAAACAGG